rnacentral:rRNA from 1 species
CGGCGAGUGAAGCGGCAAAAGCUCAAAUUUGAAAUCUGGCACCUUCGGUGUCCGAGUUGUAAUUUGAAGAUUGUAACCUUGGGGUUGGCUCUUGUCUAUGUUUCUUGGAACAGGACGUCACAGAGGGUGAGAAUCCCGUGCGAUGAGAUGCCCAAUCCUAUGUAAGGUGCUUUCGAAGAGUCGAGUUGUUUGGGAAUGCAGCUCUAAGUGGGUGGUAAAUUCCAUCUAAAGCUAAAUAUUGGCGAGAGACCGAUAGCGAACAAGUACAGUGAUGGAAAGAUGAAAAGAACUUUGAAAAGAGAGUGAAAAAGUACGUGAAAUUGUUGAAAGGGAAGGGUUUGAGAUCAGACUCGAUAUUUUGUGAGCCUUGCCUUCGUGGCGGGGUGACCCGCAGCUUAUCGGGCCAGCAUCGGUUUGGGCGGUAAGAUAAUGGCGUAGGAAUGUGACUUUGCUUCGGUGAAGUGUUAUAGCCGGCGUUGAUGCUGCCUGCCUACACCGAGGACUGCGAUUUUAUCAAGGAUGCUGGCAUAAUGAUCCC